rnacentral:rRNA from 1 species
AUAUCAAUAAGCGGAGGAAAAGAAACCAACAGGGAUUGCCCCAGUAACGGCGAGUGAAGCGGCAAGAGCUCAAAUUUGAAAUCUGGCCUCCUCCGGGGGUCCGAGUUGUAAUUUGCAGAGGAUGCUUCGGGUGCGGCCCCCGUCUAAGUUCCUUGGAACAGGACGUCAGAGAGGGUGAGAAUCCCGUCUUGGGCGGGCGGCCCGCGCCCGUGUGAAGCUCCUUCGACGAGUCGAGUUGUUUGGGAAUGCAGCUCUAAGCGGGUGGUAAAUUUCAUCUAAAGCUAAAUACUGGCCGGAGACCGAUAGCGCACAAGUAGAGUGAUCGAAAGGUUAAAAGCACCUUGAAAAGGGAGUUAAACAGCACGUGAAAUUGUUGAAAGGGAAGCGCUUGCGGCCAGACUCGGGGGCGGGGUUCAGCGGGCGCUCGUCGCCCGUGCACUCCCCGCGCCCCGGGCCAGCAUCAGUUUCGACGGCCGGUCAAAGGCCCCCGGAAUGUGUCGUCUCUAGGGACGUCUUAUAGCCGGGGGUGCAAUGCGGCCCGUCGGGACUGAGGAACGCGCUCCGGCUCGGAUGCUGGCGUAAUGGCCGUAAGCGGC